CUUCUUAGAAGAUGCACAUGCUCCUAGGCCCUAGCUCCUAACUCUUCUUCUAUUUCACCCCAAACCCACCCUAUAAAUAUCACCCUAUUGCCCACUUUUCCUCUCAAAAUAAAAAGUCUUUGAAUUCCUCCCAAUUACUCCAAAAAAGUCUUUAUUCAUCUCCCAUUUAUUCUUCUCCAAUUCCCAAUUGAAAAUGAAUUCCAUGAGAUUGUACGCCCUCCCAGUCAUUGGCUUCAUGUUCUUGGCACUUUUGCGACUCAGCCAUGCGCAGUCCUUGGCUCCUUCUCCUGCACCCCAGGGCCCAACCAGCGAUGGCGCAGCAAUAGAUCAAGGGAUUGCUUACUUCCUUCUACUCCUGGCCCUUGCAAUCACAUACCUCUUCCAUUGAUUUUAUUUAUUUAUUUAUUUAAAUUUUGUGUCGUUAAUUAGGAUAAUUAAUAGAAAUUCUUUAUGUACUUUCUCCUAGUAUUCAAUAUAGAGAUCUUGUGUAUCAAAAAAAAAAAAAAAAAGGAGAUCUUGGAGCAAUUUUACACUGCUUUGAUUCUUGUGUAAUAUAAAGUAAUAAAGAAAUGAAUUAAUAUUAAUUAUUUGUCCAUUUUGCAA